rnacentral:SRP_RNA from 1 species
GCUGGGCAUGGUGGUGCGUGCCUGUAAUCCCAGCUACUUGGAGGCUGAGGCAGGAGAAUCGCUUGAACCUGGGAGGCAGAGGUUGCAGUGAGCCCAGAUCUCGCCACUGCAAUCCAGCCUGGGUGACAGAACGAGACUCUGUCUCAA